rnacentral:lncRNA from 1 species
AUGGUGGGGUUCAAAGCACAAGGGCCAGCCGCGUGGUCAGGGAGGGGAGCCCAGUAUCGAACUAGCAUUGAUACGCUUCUGCUAGAACAAACUGUGGGCCCAACACACCAGGAAGGAUGGAGGGUGAGGAAAAGGAAUGGGAAAGACGGAGUCAGCAGAGGAGAGGGAUGCUGGGGCCAUCUGGGAACACACAUCACCCACUGCUCCUGUGAUCCUCGAAGGCUUUCUGGGGUCAGGGUAUGGGGAUUCUAUAGGCAGAAGCUGGAUUUCCUAUUUCAAAAAUGCCCAUCAUUUGGACAAAUAACCCAAUCAGAUUGUAAAGAGACGUGUCCAAUGUCCCCUGAGGCUUUGGGGAGAGGGGCACAGAGAUAUGACUGAAGCUUCAACGUGUAACUAAAAGAAGACCAGAUGGACCAUUAUCACAUCACUCUGCAGUCAGAUAAUGUCUUCUGGCAGGAACUGCAGCUGCCUCUUGAAACGCCAAGAUGCUGGCGGGAGAGAUGGGUCCCCGUCCACUGAGGAAUCACCCCUUCCUGCUCAACUUUUUCAUUGUUCUUUCCCAAACUCCAUGCUUUUGUUUCAUUUUUUUUGCCAAGAAUUUUUAACUUUGUUAUCUUUUUCUAUAAAUGCUAGGCUAGUCACUUAAUGAAUCCCAAAGCCAGGUCAACACAGCCAAAUUAUUUAGAAUUAGCUUUAGAGAGUCACCUUCCAGUUUGGUAGGUCAGCUAGUAUUGUGUAUGCUUGCGCAUAUGAUAUUUUCAUUCAAAUCAUCUGUAUAUGUUUCAAAGCCAGCCCUCUGAGUACUAGGGGAUGAGCUAUUGUCAGAAGGAGCAAUGAUCAUUUACAAAUAAUCACCAUAUCCUGUUUGGAGAGAGUUUCCCAGCCAAGAGGCUGGAAGAGGCCUCUCCAGAGUGAAAUCUAAUCUGACUUUGAAACCUCAGCCAUCCAGCACAGUCUCUUUGUUAUUAUCAGCAAUUUAAAGCCUAGCUAUUCACUCCUCAGAAACAGACCUGUGAAACGGCUCUGUUCCCGCUUCUAAGAUUUAUAUACAAAAAACAAUGGAAACACGAAUCAUUAAAAAUUUUAUUUGACCCUAUCUAGUUGACCUAAUUUUUCUAUGAAUCAUACUUUAU